GACGAACCGUGCGAACGUUAUUCGGAAUCACUGGGCUUAAAGGGUGCGUAGGCGGGCUCGCCAGUCAGGGGUGAAAUCCCACGGCCCAACCGUGGAAGUGCCUCUGAUACUGCGGGCCUCGAGGGGGAUAGGGGCGUGCGGAACUUCCGGUGGAGCGGUGAAAUGCGUAGAUAUCAGAAGGAACACCGGUGGCGAAAGCGGCGCGCUGGAUCCCUACUGACGCUGAGGCACGAAAGCCAGGGGAGCAAACGGG
rnacentral:rRNA from 1 species